GUCUAUGGCCAUACCACCCUGAACGCGCCCAAUCUCCUCUGAUCUCGGAAGCUAAGCAGAGUUCGGGCCUGGUUAGUACUUGGAUGGGAGAUGCAACAGCAAAAACAUAAUAUGUCAACAAUAAACC
ensembl:rRNA 5S_rRNA 5S ribosomal RNA